AGCCUUAUAUUUUAUGUAAAAUAUUAAAUUGCAAGUUUAAAGAAGAUCCUUAAGGCUU
rnacentral:tRNA from 1 species